rnacentral:rRNA from 1 species
GAAGCAGCCAUCAUUUAAAGAGUGCGUAAUAGCUCACUAGUCGAGUGACACUGCGCCGAAAAUGUACCGGGGCUAAACAUAUUACCGAAGCUGUGGAUUGUCCUUUGGACAAUGGUAGGAGAGCGUUCUAAGGGCGUUGAAGCAUGAUCGUAAGGACAUGUGGAGCGCUUAGAAGUGAGAAUGCCGGUGUGAGUAGCGAAAGACGGGUGAGAAUCCCGUCCACCGAUUGACUAAGGUUUCCAGAGGAAGGCUCGUCCGCUCUGGGUUAGUCGGGUCCUAAGCUGAGGCCGACAGGCGUAGGCGAUGGAUAACAGGUUGAUAUUCCUGUACCACCUAUAAUCGUUUUAAUCGAUGGGGGGACGCAGUAGGAUAGGCGAAGCGUGCGAUUGGAUUGCACGUCUAAGCAGUAAGGCUGAGUAUUAGGCAAAUCCGGUACUCGUUAAGGCUGAGCUGUGAUGGGGAGAAGACAUUGAGUCUUCGAGUCGUUGAUUUCACACUGCCGAGAAAAGCCUCUAGAUAGAAAAUAGGUGCCCGUACCGCAAACCGACACAGGUAGUCAAGAUGAGAAUUCUAAGGUGAGCGAGCGAACUCUCGUUAAGGAACUCGGCAAAAUGACCCCGUAACUUCGGGAGAAGGGGUGCUCUUUAGGGUUAACGCCCAGAAGAGCCGCAGUGAAUAGGCCCAAGCGACUGUUUAUCAAAAACACAGGUCUCUGCUAAACCGUAAGGUGAUGUAUAGGGGCUGACGCCUGCCCGGUGCUGGAAGGUUAAGAGGAGUGGUUAGCUUCUGCGAAGCUACGAAUCGAAGCCCCAGUAAACGGCGGCCGUAACUAUAACGGUCCUAAGGUAGCGAAAUUCCUUGUCGGGUAAGUUCCGACCCGCACGAAAGGCGUAACGAUUUGGGCACUGUCUCAACGAGAGACUCGGUGAAAUCAUAGUACCUGUGAAGAUGCAGGUUACCCGCGACAGGACGGAAAGACCCCGUGGAGCUUUACUGUAGCCUGAUAUUGAAAUUCGGCACAGCUUGUACAGGAUAGGUAGGAGCCUUUGAAACGUGAGCGCUAGCUUACGUGGAGGCGCUGGUGGGAUACUACCCUAGCUGUGUUGGCUUUCUAACCCGCACCACUUAUCGUGGUGGGAGACAGUGUCAGGCGGGCAGUUUGACUGGGGCGGUCGCCUCCUAAAAGGUAACGGAGGCGCUCAAAGGUUCCCUCAGAAUGGUUGGAAAUCAUUCAUAGAGUGUAAAGGCAUAAGGGAGCUUGACUGCGAGACCUACAAGUCGAGCAGGGUCGAAAGACGGACUUAGUGAUCCGGUGGUUCCGCAUGGAAGGGCCAUCGCUCAACGGAUAAAAGCUACCCCGGGGAUAACAGGCUUAUCUCCCCCAAGAGUUCACAUCGACGGGGAGGUUUGGCACCUCGAUGUCGGCUCAUCGCAUCCUGGGGCUGUAGUCGGUCCCAAGGGUUGGGCUGUUCGCCCAUUAAAGCGGUACGCGAGCUGGGUUCAGAACGUCGUGAGACAGUUCGGUCCCUAUCCGUCGUGGGCGUAGGAAAUUUGAGAGGAGCUGUCCUUAGUACGAGAGGACCGGGAUGGACAUACCUCUGGUGUACCAGUUGUCGUGCCAACGGCAUAGCUGGGUAGCUAUGUGUGGACGGGAUAAGUGCUGAAAGCAUCUAAGCAUGAAGCCCCCCUCAAGAUGAGAUUUCCCAACUUCGGUUAUAAGAUCCCUCAAAGAUGAUGAGGUUAAUAGGUUCGAGGUGGAAGCAUGGUGACAUGUGGAGCUGACGAAUACUAAUCGAUCGAAGACUUAAUCAA